AUCGCUUCUCGGCCUUUUGGCUAAGAUCAAGUGUAGUAUAGUACAUCCUUAGAAGCUGGCUUUUUUUUUUUUUUUUUUUUUUUUUCUUUUUGUGGUAUGCGGGCCUCCCUCUGCUGUGGCCUCUCCCGUUGCGGAGCACAGGCUCCGGACGCGCAGGCUCAGCGGCCAUGGC
rnacentral:snRNA from 1 species